rnacentral:rRNA from 1 species
UACAGAGGUCUCAAGCGUUGUUCGGAUUCAUUGGGCGUAAAGGGUGCGUAGGCGGCGCGGUAAGUCGGGUGUGAAAUCUUGGAGCUUAACUCCGAAACUGCAUUCGAUACUGCCGUGCUUGAGGACUGGAGAGGAGACUGGAAUUUACGGUGUAGCAGUGAAAUGCGUAGAGAUCGUAAGGAAGACCAGUGGCGAAGGCGGGUCUCUGGGCCGAUACUGACGCUGAGGAGCGAAAGCGUGGGGAGCGAACAGG